rnacentral:rRNA from 1 species
UACGUAGGGUGCGAGCGUUGCCCGGAUUUAUUGGGCGUAAAGAGCUCGUAGGCGGUGUGUCGCGUCGGCCGUGAAAACCUGCAGCUCAACUGUGGGCUUGCGGUCGAUACGGGCAUCACUGGAGUUCGGCAGGGGAGACUGGAAUUCCUGGUGUAGCGGUGAAAUGCGCAGAUAUCAGGAGGAACACCGGUGGCGAAGGCGGGUCUCUGGGCCGAUACUGACGCUGAGGAGCGAAAGCGUGGGGAGCGAACAGG